rnacentral:rRNA from 1 species
AUUGAACGCUGGCGGCAGGCCUAACACAUGCAAGUCGAACGAGUGGCGGACGGGUGAGUAAUGUCUGGGAAACUGCCCGAUGGAGGGGGAUAACUACUGGAAACGGUAGCUAAUACCGCAUACCAUCGGAUGUGCCCAGAUGGGAUUAGCUAGUAGGUGGGGUAAUGGCUCACCUAGGCGACGAUCCCUAGCUGGUCUGAGAGGAUGACCAGCCACACUGGAGCUGAGACACGGUCCAGACUCCUACGGGAGGCAGCAGUGGGGAAUAUUGCGCAAUGGGCGCAAGCCUGAUGCAGCCAUGCCGCGUGGAUGAAGAAGGCCGUCGGAUUGUAAAGUACUGUCAGCGGGGAGGCGGUACCCGAAGAAAAAGCACCGGCUAACUCCGUGCCAGCAGCCGCGGUAAUAC